rnacentral:rRNA from 1 species
CCUACGGGAGGCUGCAGUAGGGAAUAUUGCUCAAUGGGGGAAACCCUGAAGCAGCAACGCCGCGUGGAUGAUGAAGGUUUUCGGAUUGUAAACUCCUUUUGUUAGAGAAGAUAAUGACGGUAUCUAACGAAUAAGCACCGGCUAACUCCGUGCCAGCAGCCGCGGUAAUACGGAGGGUGCAAGCGUUACUCGGAAUCACUGGGCGUAAAGAGCGCGUAGGCGGGAUAGCAAGUCAGAUGUGAAAUCCUAUGGGUUAACCAUAGAACUGCAUUUGAAACUGUUAUUCUAGAGUAUGGGAGAGGUAGGUGGAAUUCUUGGUGUAGGGGUAAAAUCCGUAGAGAUCAAGAGGAAUACUCAUUGCGAAGGCGACCUGCUAGAACAUAACUGACGCUGAUGCGCGAAAGCGUGGGGAGCAAACAGGAUUAGAUACCCCUAGUAGUC